UCUUGUAAGGUUUGCCCUCUCUAUGAAUAUUUUGCUCAUGCUCUCUUUCACACCCCCGCCCUCCCCCUGUAGGUGGAAAGAAGUUUUACGUUUUUCUGGUGUUCUAAGAUGCUAGGAAUUGCAAACAGAUAUAGAAGAGUGAGAUCAUCUUUAUAUGUCAUCUUUUCACUUCUUUUGUUUAUUUUUAUGUCUUCUUGAGAUCUUAUUUACAUUUAGUUCAGCGUCUCUCUUUUGUUCUACAAGAUACCUAGCACAAAACUUUUCCAUUGCAGCCAUUACUUGAACAGGAUCCCAUUUUUAUUUCGUAAAGCAGAUGCUGAAAACCCCAUCUCUUUUAUCCUUUGUCUAAUAGAACCAAAUUCUUUUGUGAUGUUUAAUCCUAGAGAUGAUUCAGUUGAGCUGGUUUUAUUCAAUCCAUCAUAAUGCUUUGGCUCGAAGCCAUUUCUAACCACUGAUGUGAAAAUGUUUUGUUUUGCUAGUGUUAAUUUUCCUUCACCUAUGCAUCUGAGCUCCAAAUUUUUGCAUUUUAUUAUCACUAGUCAUUGGCAGAUAAAGUAAGGGUCCCACUCUAUGUGAUGUGGAAUGAGCAGGUCAACCGCACCCAUUUGAUUGGUUCAUACUUCACAGGUGUGGGAUUCCAUGAUCCAUCAUGGACGUCACUUCUUGAUGAUAAGAAGAAUUCUUAAUCCUAUAUAUAUGUUUGUUCAGUGUUUUAGGUGGAGGGUGUGAUGCAAAUGGGACUGAGACGCAAGAGACAGGUCAUCCUUUUAUCAUUGAAUAGCUGAUAAAAACAAUGUCGUUUUUGUGACAUAAGGGAAUGCCACGUGUCAGUCCUAGAGUGGCUGUAUGAUAUGCAUGCCAGCUGCAAGUAUUUAUUGCCUACCACAUUAAAUAUUCUGUAAUGGAAGGCGGUGACUACUGACUACGUUGUUUGAUGUCUUAAUCGUAGUGGUGAUCAUUCUAGAGUCCGUGGUUCUAUAAAUUAUAUUUAUAAAUACAUAUAAUUAACAUUGUUGACUUAGCUUGUCAAUUAUUCUUUUUCUAAUUUUUCUUGAACUUGCUGGCAGUGCUAAGCCGGACAUUCAGC
rnacentral:misc_RNA from 1 species